rnacentral:lncRNA from 10 species
CAGGAAGUGACUCCUAAGCUGAGUCGUAAAGAGUCCUCAGCCCUUGUCCAGUACAGAGAAAGUGGGAGAAAGGAGGUAAAGAGAGUACUCUGGCAAGGGAGAGGACUUGAGCAAGGGUAUGGAAGUUGGGAAAGUGUGCUGUGUGGAGAACUAAAAAUGGCUAAUUUUUGCUGGGUUCUAAGGUUUGAGGCAGAAAUGACAAAGGAUAAAGCUAGAGAGAUAGGCAGGUACCAGAUUUUGAGUGAUCUUUUAUGUUGUGGUAAGCAAUUUGAACUUUGGUUAUCACGAGACGUGGGAAGGUCUUAGGCAAGUAGUGAUAUGAUCAGAUUUUAAUUUUGAGUCCACUCCUGUAUGGAGGAUGGAUCUGAAGAAGUCAGGACUAGAGGUGAGAGUAACCUGUUAGGAAGUUAUUGAAAGCAGUGUAUGCAGGUAAUCCUGGAAGGAAGAUCUGGAGCAAAGAUUGUAGGAAUAAAGAGAAGAGCACCGAUUGGAGAGAUGUUUAACAGGUGGACACAUGCAGGUGGAGGAGCCACAGAGGAAGAAGAGACCUUGCGUAAGGCGAAACUGGAAAUGUAAAAUGGGUGAAAGAAGUGGAGUGUGCUUUUCCAGCAAAGGCCAUUUAUCCAUUCCAAGAGGGAGUUAAGAGUGGCAGUUAGGGGAUAAGACCAGGACCAGCUAUGAUGGUUUGGAGGAAAAGUAUAAGCUGGCAGUGUAGACAAGGGCAGGGCAUGUAUGGAGAGGUGAAAACGAAGAAUAGGAGUAUGACUAGACAGAAGAGAGCAGGGAUGAAAAGUUUUUGGGAUGCAGUCUAAGUAGUGGGGGUGACUGCAUAAGGCCCUGUUGCAAAGACUCUGGUAAGGAAGGAUAGACCUAACAAAAUGAAGGGAUGUAUUAGGCUCAUAAGGGUUACUACUGUUCUUCAGAAAUGUGGGUGAGUUUAAGGGAAGUAGGGGUGAGUACUCGCGACUUCCAGAAGGAAGAGGAGAGAUCAGGCUGGCUGUCCAAUGGACACGGCUUUAUUCUGGAACGGUGAACCCAAUGGGGAGGGUCCUGCAGGAGGACGGCAGUUAGGGUAUUAUAGAUGACUAAGUAGGGUCCGGUCCGUCGAGGUUGUAGAGUUUGAGGGGUCAGAUUCUUAACAAGAACUGAUCGUCCAGAUAGGGUGUCUUCAUAAGGCUGGG